GAUGAACGCUAGCGGCAGGCCUAACACAUGCAAGUCGAACGGUAACAUGAGAGCUUGCUCUUGAUGACGAGUGGCGCACGGGUGCGUAACGCGUAUACAAUCUACCUUUUACUGGGAGAUAGCCUUUAGAAAUGAAGAUUAAUAUCCCAUAGUAUAAUGAUAUGGCAUCAUAUUAUUAUUAAAGUUUCGGCGGUAAAAGAUGAGUAUGCGUUCUAUUAGCUAGAUGGUGUGGUAACGGCACACCAUGGCAACGAUAGAUAGGGGCCCUGAGAGGGGGAUCCCCCACACUGGUACUGAGACACGGACCAGACUCCUACGGGAGGCAGCAGUGAGGAAUAUUGGACAAUGGGCGCAAGCCUGAUCCAGCCAUGCCGCGUGCAGGAAGACGGCCCUAUGGGUUGUAAACUGCUUUUAUACAGGAAGAAACACUCCCUCGUGAGGGAGCUUGACGGUACUGUAAGAAUAAGGACCGGCUAACUCCGUGCCAGCAGCCGCGGUAAUACGGAGGGUCCGAGCGUUAUCCGGAAUCAUUGGGUUUAAAGGGUCCGUAGGUGGAUAAUUAAGUCAGAGGUGAAAUCCUGCAGCUCAACUGUAGAAUUGCCUUUGAAACUGGUUAUCUUGAGUUAUUAUGAAGUAGUUAGAAUAUGUAGUGUAGCGGUGAAAUGCAUAGAUAUUACAUAGAAUACCAAUUGCGAAGGCAGAUUACUAAUAAUCAACUGACACUGAUGGACGAAAGCGUGGGGAGCGAACAGGAUUAGAUACCCUGGUAGUCCACGCCGUAAACGAUGGUUACUAGCUGUUCGGACUUCGGUCUGAGUG
rnacentral:rRNA from 1 species